UACGUAGGUGGCAAGCGUUGUCCGGAUUUACUGGGCGUAAAGAGCGCGCAGGCGGUCGUCCAAGUCGCGUGUGAAAGCCCCCGGCUCAACUGGGGAGGGUCACGCGAUACUGGUCGACUCGAAAGCAGGAGAGGGUAGUGGAAUUCCCGGUGUAGUGGUGAAAUGCGUAGAUAUCGGGAGGAACACCAGUGGCGAAGGCGACUACCUGGCCUGUUCUUGACGCUGAGGCGCGAAAGCUAGGGGAGCAAACGGG
rnacentral:rRNA from 1 species